rnacentral:lncRNA from 1 species
AUAUAUAUACAGUAUAUAUAAUUAAUUAAUAUUCGAAUGGUUUAUCAUGAUAAACAAUUAAAAAUAUAUAUAUACCCGAUCCAGAAAAAUUUUCGUGGAAUUAUUAACUUGGCUAAGUAACUAGGUAUUUCAAUUUUCUGAACGACAGUUUUGGCGAUAACUCAUGAAAAAUGGCGUAUUUAUGGUUUUCUCUUCAGCUCCUCUUUGGAUAGUUGAUUACUUGAUGGAAAGUAAACUUGGUUCCAUGUUUGCCAAGAUAAUGUUUAUUUUAGAAUUCAUUACUGGACAUUUAUGGAAUUCAUUCAAUCUGUUGAGCAUUCUUUUAAGGGAUAUUGAUAUAUUAUGUUUAUCAUCUGACUCUGCAAAUAAAUUAUAAUUUUGUCCACCUCAUUCAUCUUUUUUCUGACUCUUACUUUAUUGAAAUUCAAUCCAUUUUGUGUAAGUAAAAUCUAACCUAAGUAUGGAAUUUAUUUUAAAAAUAUAUAUAAGUUUUAGUCGAAGAAGUUUUCAUAUCCGUUUCCGUUCGAAUAAAACCCCAAAUAACUUUCGUAUCAAAAGUAUAUAUUAAAAAUAUAUUUUAAUGGUUAAGUUUAUUUUUUCUAAC